rnacentral:rRNA from 1 species
GCAUCGAUGAAGAACGCAGCGAAAUGCGAUAAGUAGUGUGAAUUGCAGAAUUCAGUGAAUCAUCGAAUCUUUGAACGCACAUUGCGCCCCUUGGUAUUCCAUGGGGCAUGCCUGUUCGAGCGUCAUUUGUACCUUCAAGCUCUGCUUGGUGUUGGGUGUUUGUCUCGCCUUUUGCGUGUAGACUCGCCUCAAAACGAUUGGCAGCCGGCGUAUUGAUUUCGGAGCGCAGUACAUCUCGCGCUUUGCACUCACAACGACGACGUCCAAAAAGUACUUUUUUUACACUCUUGACCUCGGAUCAGGUAGGGAUACCCGCUGAACUUAAGCAUAUCAAUAAGCGGAGGA